ACAGCAGUAGCCACGGUAAUACGUAGGUGGCAAGCGUUGUCCGGAAUUAUUGGGCGUAAAGGGCUCGCAGGCGGUUUCUUAAGUCUGAUGUGAAAGCCCCCGGCUCAACCGGGGAGGGUCAUUGGAAACUGGGAAACUUGAGUGCAGAAGAGGAGAGUGGAAUUCCACGUGUAACGGUGAAAUGCGUAGGGAUGUGGAGGAACACCAGUGGCGAAGGCGACUCUCUGGUCUGUAACUGACGCUGAGGAGCGAAAGCGUGGGAGCGAACAGGAUUAGAUACCCCAGUAGUCCCUGUCUCUUAUACC
rnacentral:rRNA from 1 species